AUUGAACGCUGGCGGCAGGCCUAACACAUGCAAGUCGAACGAGUGGCGGACGGGUGAGUAAUGUCUGGGAAACUGCCUGAUGGAGGGGGAUAACUACUGGAAACGGUAGCUAAUACCGCAUACCAUCAGAUGUGCCCAGAUGGGAUUAGCUAGUUGGUGGGGUAACGGCUCACCAAGGCGACGAUCCCUAUCUGGUCUGAGAGGAUGACCAGCAACACGGGAACUGGGACACGGCCCAGACUCCUAGGGGAGGCAGCAGUGGGGAAUAUUGGAAAAGGGGCGCAAGCCUGAUGCAGACAUGCCGCGUGUAGGAAGAAGGCCUUCGGGUGGUAAAGUACUUUCAGCGGGGAGGCGUUACCCGCAGAAGAAGCACCGGCUAACUCCGUGCCAGCCGCCGCGGUAAUAC
rnacentral:rRNA from 1 species